AAAAAAAAAAAAAAAACACUCUGCUGGUGCCUACAUCAGUUUUGGAACUUUAUUCAACCUCUUUGAGCUAUGUACUAUAUCAUGAGGAUGUUUGGGUAAUUUUUGGGUUUCAAUGGACAUGACAGUACAAAUGAUGCCAACAUUAUUCCAGCUGUGUGCCAAUGGGACCUCAUACGCGGGUUUCUUUUCUUGUUUCUCUACUAUGGUCUAUUGUUCCUACUUAUUCUUAUUCUUGUAACAGAAAACAGGUCAAUGAUGACAAUAAUAAUUUCUGGCACAUCCUGCAGUUGUUUCAAAGCAGACAACCAUUAUGUAUUAUCUUUGAAGCUAAAAAAUUUUGCACUCAAAACGCUAAACCUAAUAAAAGAGAAAGGAAAUAACAGUCUAAAAUCUUUCCUGACAGCUUAAUUAAAAUCCUAAGUAUUUGUUCUUGUUUGGGGAACAGCUGCACUGACCAGCCAUCAUCCUAAUCAUUAUUUAGAUUGAUAUCCUCUAAUUUAGCCACCAAGUAAAUAACCGAUCGAAAUUUUAGCCAUUGUCAGAAUGUCCUUGCACCUGAAUUGUUCAUUUUGUUACCAUAAAUAAUCCACCAA
rnacentral:misc_RNA from 1 species